GAGAGUGCAGGCGGUUUUCUAAGUCUGAUGUGAAAGCCUUCGGCUUAACCGGAGAAGUGCAUCGGAAACUGGAUAACUUGAGUGCAGAAGAGGGUAGUGGAACUCCAUGUGUAGCGGUGGAAUGCGUAGAUAUAUGGAAGAACACCAGUGGCGAAGGCGGCUACCUGGUCUGCAACUGACGCUGAGACUCGAAAGCAUGGGUAGCGAACAGGAUUAGAUACCCUGGUAG
rnacentral:rRNA from 1 species